UUCAUUCACAAUAUUUUGAAUUGACUUUCCAUCUGAUAACUGCUUUCGACUAUCCUGAUUACAAUACUUUAUAUCCAGUUAUAUCAUACUGCAAUCAAAUAGUCACAUAAAUUGCGUCUAAGUUCAUAAAUUUCUAUGCGUGUUGUGUGUUAUAAUUGACAACAAGUGUUAGAGAUAUUAUAUUUUACAAUUGGCACGAGGCAUGUAUUAUGAAAUUUCCUGUAGGCUGAAUAGCAUGAGAACAAUCAGAAAAAUGUAAUUGUUGCUGAAAGGUUUUGUUGCACACACGGAAAAUAUGAAUACGCUUAAUAAUUUCCGUUAGCAUAAUCAGCUCACGAUUAGCUUCAUCACUGAUUAAACCAUAAUCAAAUGCAGUAAUCUAACCUGGGUUCAUAGCAUAGUAAAAGUCUCGCCACUCAUCCAUCCAGACUUCUGCUACCCUUGCAGCAUUAUGCAGAACGAUCUUGCUGACUCCACCAGGAAAUGUGUAGGGACUCUUGUCACGGAACACGUGUCCCACGUGCGAACAAGGAAUGAUUUCUAGUAUACCGCCGCACUGCCACACCUACAAGGAACUCGCACUCUUACAGAUAGCAAAACGAUUCUUGGCUCCCUUGGUUGGUUAUUUUGACAACUAAUCACUUCGGCAUGAUGACUUCAAGUAAAGACAGAUCUCAUUGUAAGAGGGACAACAUGAAUUGCAACUUUGAAUACAAGAUUUUCCAAUAAAAUUAAGAGCUGGGAUGUCUGAAUAAUUAUGACAAAAGAUGCUUGAUACACUGGUAAUCGAUGGGGGGUAAAACUUUGUAUCAGCUACUUGGCACUUGAUAAUAGUAGAAUUCAAUGGUUGAAUA